GGGAUAGUAGCUCAAUGGGUUAUCACACUGUUGCACCAGAGGGACACAGGUUCAAUUCCUGACUAUUCCA